UGCAAGAAGAAUAUAAAUUAUAA
rnacentral:piRNA from 1 species